GAGCAAGUGUCACCAGAGCCAGGGCUCAACCAGGGGGAGCGGAUAAAGGCAACACAGCCUGCCCUGGGUAAAAGACACCUGCAGAGAACAUGGCAAUGGAGAUUAGGGCAAGGAAGACAGAUUCAACUGCCAACAGGCUGGAAAGGAUGAAGUGACAGGAAAGCAAACAUACUCCCAGCAAUUUCCAGAGAUGCUAAUGAAGAGAACAAAGCUUUGUGAGACUUGGGACAACAGGACAGAGCAGCUCAACUUUGUCACAAGAAGAGAGGUGCAUACAUCAUGGAAUUCACAGAAUCACAAGCACAUUUACUGUGGAAAUACAUUCUACCAAAAUUGGGAUUUCACCCAGCAUAGCUACAGCACAGAAAUGUUCCCAGGCUGGAAUAGCUGUCCCUUUCCACAAUCUAAAACUUUGAUUCACUUUCUGUGUAACAUUUGUCUGCAAGUGCCACUGAAAGCUGAGGUUUGCUACCAGGAAGGUGGGAAAACUUUUAUCAGUCCAAAAGGCCAUAAACCAGUUUCGACCAAAACAAUGGAGUAAUUCUUAUUGGAUAUACAAGGUUAACAUUAAAAGCCUGUAAUUGCUUUCCUACUGUCAAAAUAAAAUGGGUAACAGGAAGGAAAGGAAACAGAAUUUUUGCAUACUUGAAGACUUCAAACAGAAAAGGCUGCCACAUGAUCAAAAAGAGUUUUAGAAUAAUAAUAAAGAUGGGUGGGAGACAGAACAGAUAGCUUCCCACAGAAACAUACUAUUUUCUGACUAUACACACACCUCUAAAUAGUGAAAGGAAGAUGUAAGUAAGACAUGAUUGCACAGCAUUACAAGAUUUAUAUUAAGGAUCUUGGUCUAAAGGAAAUUAGGCAAAAAUUAGGAAUAUUAUUUGUUAGAAUGUGUUCAAGAUAUUAAAUUUGUUUUUCUCCUAUGUAGUCAAUGCUUUGCCUAUACUUUGGAUUAGCUCCAAUCCAUUAAUGAAUGGCCAACAGGUGCUUGAAACUCAUAAAAACAUAAAUAUGAUAAAAUAUUUGGUGAAAGUGGUGUCUUGGCUACACUAUGGACUUGACUGCAGUGUGAGUGCUACCAAGUGAUAAUCGAAUUCUAUGUGAAAGUAAGACCGAAAUUUGAUGAGA